GGCUCGGAUAAACGUCAGCAGGCCCACCAUGCCGAAUUGGUCCGUUACCAUUCCUGAGGGAAUGUUUGUCACCCGACCUGCAGCAGAGGAGCGACCCAGAGUCACCAAACCACAGGGUAGCGAGCCCAGCUGCCUCACCCAAGUUGUGGGAUUAAGAAGGGAUGUCUCAGAGGAAUUGGAGCGAUACGAUUGGCUGAGAAGUCUCACCAUCGGGCAACACCUGGAUCCCUUUCUUCUGGUUGUUGUUCUGUGCCGAGGUCGUCUUGUCUCCAGGGAACUUCGGACCAUCUGUGCUGGAUGUGCUCUUGCUUGUGGAGUUCAAGUUCUAAACAAUUAAAAUGAAGAAACAAAAUUAAGAUUACAUUUUUAACUCUGCAGUCGUCACAAAAAAAAAAAA